AAGUCGUAACAAGGUCUCCGUAGGUGAACCUGCGGAGGGAUCAUUCACAUGAUCAUAAUCUUAAACAAUUCUGUGAACUUUUUUUUUUUAAAACUAUUCUUUUUGUUUUUUAUUUUCUUUCAUUAGAAAACAAAAAACAAAAUUACAUUCGAUUGUACAUUAGAUAGCUGGUUUCUUUUUUUGUUUACAAAAAAAAGUAUUCUACAGCUGAUUGAAAUAUAUCUAAACAAUAUAUUUGAAUCAUGUCAAACAAACAUAGAAUUUAACAACUCUAUGCCCUGGAUAUCUUGGUUCUC
rnacentral:misc_RNA from 1 species